CCCCUCGCAGCCGCAGCCCGGCGGGGGCGGGCGGGCCGGGGCCGCGGAGCCCGGGCGAGCACAUGGGCGGGCCGGGGCGGUGCUGCCGAGCGGGACGAAGAGCUGGUUGUGCCCGGAUUUGUGACCAUGAACCUCUUGUCAUUUGAGUCCGCCUGCAUUUUCCUGCUUCCCCAAGUUUUGCUGGUGUUGGGUAUUCAAGAAAUUCAUACUGACCAGGAGAUGAUCGGCAAGAUCUCAGCUGCUGGCCAGCUGAUGCAGUGCUCGGCUUCCUUAGAUGUCCUUUUCCUCUUGGACGGCUCCUACAGCAUCGGCAAAGGAAGCUUUGAAAGGUCUAAGCACUUUGCAGGCAAGCUCUGUGAUGCCUUGGACAUCCAUCCAGACAGGGUCCGCGUGGGAAUGAUACAGUUUAGCUCAACUCCCCACCUUGAAUUCCCACUGGAUUUGUAUCUAACCAAACAAGAAGUGAAAGAGCGAAUCAGGACGAUUGUGUUCAGAGGUGGGAGCACAGAGAUAGGUCGAGCUCUGAAGUAUAUUCUACGCAAAGGAUUCCCUGGUGGCAGAAACUCAAGUGUCCCUGAAGUCAUGAUCAUCAUUUCGGAUGGAAAGUCCCAGGACAGCACUGCAAUGCCUGCAAUGCAGGUGAAGGAGAGACACAUCAUGGUUUUUGCAGUGGGAAUCAAGUUUCCAAGGUGGGAAGAGCUGCACAUGCUGGCCAGUGAGCCCACCGAGCAGCACGUGCUCUUUGCUGGAGAUGCCAAUGAUGCUGCCAAUGGCCUGUACAGCACCCUGACCGGCUCUGUCUGCAGCGCCAGCGCUCCAGGCUGCAACGUUGAGUCCCACCCUUGCGAACGCAGGACCCUGGAGACUGUGAAAGAGCUGGCUGGAAAUUACGUGUGUUGGAAAGGCUCAAAGCAGCCAAAUGCAGUGCGUGCGUCGCUGUGCCCUUUCUACAGAUGGAAGAGAGUCUUGAUAAAACACCCAUCCAGAUGCUUCCGAACUGUAUGCUCAGACCCCUGUGACACCCAGCCAUGCCAGAACGGGGGCACGUGUGUCCCAGACGGACUGGACAAGUACCACUGCCUCUGCCCGCUGGGCUACGGAGGAGACAUCCACUGCGCACCGAAGCUGAGCCUUGAGUGCAGUGUGGAUCUCCUUUUCCUGGUGGACAGCUCAGCAGGGGUCACGCUGGAAGGUUUCCUGCGCUACAAGGCGUUCCUCAAGAGGUUCCUCCAAGCAGUCAUGGGCCAGGACUCGCCAAUGAAUGUGGGAGUGGCCCAGUACAAUGACACUGUCAUGAUACCCAUUGAAGUGGGCCAAUACAAGGAUGCAUUCAGUCUCAUGAAGAGCAUUGAUGCUUUGAAUUUCAGUGGAGGAAGAACCCUGACAGGCAGAGCCCUACAGUACAUUGCACAGCAUGGUUUUAGGAGUGCCCCGGUCUUUGCAGACGUGCAGGAUGAGCUCCCACGUGUUGUUGUCUUGCUCACUGACUCCAAGUCCCAGGAUCCAGUGGCAGAAGCCGCUAAGUAUGCGAGGGACCAAGGUCUCUUCUUGAUCGCUGUAGGCAGCAGCUUCAUGAGAGCAGAGCUGACUGAGGUGACUGGCAAUCCAAAGCGGACAAUUGCUUAUUUGGACCCCCAGGACCUGUUAAACAGGAUCCCAGAGCUGCAGAGAAGAAUCUGCAGUGUGGACAAUCCUGAAGGCUGCCAGGCGCAGUCUCUUGAUUUGGCGUUUGCAGUGGAUGCCUCGGCUGGAGUUGGCCUGGAGAAUUUUGUGCGGCUGAGAGGCUUUGUCAGGAGCAGCUGUUCGUACUUCAGCAUCAACCGGGAUGUCACCCAAAUUGCCCUUGUGAUCUAUGGUAGCAAAGCUCACACCGUGUUCGCUUUGGACACCCACACAAGCAAUUCAGCUGUCCUCCAAGCCAUCGACCGAGCGCCCUUCCUUGGAGACUCAGCCUCUGCUGGCAGGGCCUUGCUGCAUAUUUAUGGUGACGUGAUGACAGUGCAGAAAGGAGUGAGACCUGGUGUCAACAAGGUGGUGGUGGUGCUCACAGAUGGAGGCAGCAUGGAGGAUGCAGCUGCCCCAGCACAGCAGCUGAGGGACAACGGGAUCUUGGUGUUUGUGGUUGUCAUUGGGGAUGCACAGAGGAACACGCUGCUGAGGGUUGCUGGGUCUCCCAGCUACCUGAUCCACAUCUCCUCCUACGAAGACCUGCAGUAUUACCAAGACCUUAUCAUCGAAAGAAUCUGUGAAGAAGCAAAAAGCCCCGUGAACCUGUGCAAACCCAACCCGUGCAUGAACCAGGGCGUGUGCAUCCUGGGGUCUGGGAGCUACCGCUGCGAGUGCCACGGCUGGGAAGGACCCCACUGUGAGAGCGGAGUGCUCCGCGGUUAUUCUCCAAGAUCCCCAGUCCUUCCUAUUCACUCCCACGCACAGCGGAGUUCCAGUGGUUUGCAGCACUUCUCCAGAGCCUCCCGGCACACCAGAAGACGUGUGGAUCAGAGACACUGAUGUGCUGAGUGCUCCAGUUCCCCAUCUGGGAACACUCGCUGCCACUCACAGGCAUGAUCCAGCAAGUCACCGAAGCCACCACUGCCCUUGGCAGGGAUUGAGCUGCUCCAGCACAGGGGCUGCGCUGAGGCUGUUCCCUGUUCCUGUAUUGCACAAACUGGGCUUCCCAAGUGCUCUCGUUCUUUUUUAAUCAAAAUUUGGCCCAGGUCAAAUCCAGUUACCUGUGCUGCAAACACACCAGGUAAGGGCAAUCCUCCAGCCAUUUCCAAAUAAAGGUCUCGUCUGUUGUAGGUCCCGGAUGGAGCCAUGGUUUGUACUGUCCUGCUGGUCUUUGGACCUUGGUCUAUCUGCUUUCAGGCUUAACUCCAUUCUUGCCCUCCCAGCCUCGCUGUUAUCUGCCAGCCACAGUGACCUGGAGGGGACAGGACCGGGACAAUGUUCUGAGCAGCUUCGUACAAGUGCAGGCAACAUGCAGGUCAGAGGAGGAAAAGGCUUGGACUUCUCCUCCCAGAUCUCAUAAUACUUUCCUUUCCCCUUCCCCCCCCCAUUUAUUUUCACCCCUUUUUCCCCCCUUUCUUUCACCCCCAUUUUUUUCCCCUUUUCCCCCCAUUUUUUCCAUUUUCCUUUUCUUUGUCCUCCUGCUGGCCACUGCUUUGCUCUCUCCUUUGCCAGUGAAUGUUUUUCUCUUAUUCUUUCUUUCUUGCCCAUUCCAGGUCAAGUCUCACCUUCUCUUUUUGGUGCUGUUUCUAUUGCUCUGAGCAUUGCCAUGUUGCUUCGCUCUUCUUUUGGACCUGGCUGAUGAGAACAGCAUACUUGUCCUGUCCUGAGCCCAGCUGGAUGAGCUGAAUGGCAUUUCUGCCUUCCCUCAUUGCUUUAAUUGAUCUCGUCUCCAGCACAGCAGCGGUCUCUGCAGCACAAGCUGGUGGGCUGUGAUGGUUCGCAUGUGUCUCUAAAGACAGUUUGGCUACAUGCCUGCAUCCUUCAGAGCAUCAUUCUCACUGGAUCACUAGAUCAGUUUGCCCAUGGAGCUGUAAUUGCUCCCCCAGGGCCUGUGGUUCACACUGUUGGGUUGUUCUCUGCUGACUUUCCCAUGGUGUCCAUCACCUCGGGAGAGCAGGAACAGCUCUGGACAGGGCUGAGGCAGAGACAGCAACAGUGACUGACAGUGCUUGUGAAAAUAGCAUCUGUUGUUCUCAGAAGAAGAAAAAUCCCUUCACGCAGAUGUCCUGGCCCCGUGUUUGAAUAGUAACAUUAGAUGCACAAAGAGAGACACAAAUUACUCCACAGGUUCAUUGUCAAAAGAAUGGUCUAAAGCUGGCACUGAGACAGGAGCAGCACUAUUUUACCUCUUGGGAGAAGCCAGGGUAGGAGAAAGAGGAGACUUUCUUCUUUUCACUGCCACUUUAGUAGAUGGUGUCUUAAGGCACAGCAAGACAGAGGCUUAGUUGAAGGGCUGACAUGUGGGAUAGACAGGGAAUCUAAUCUGUUAAUGUUACUUAGGCAUGGCUGUAGCUAGGCAUUGCCUCUGCUCUAAAACUGUCAGUUGUCUCUUGUUUAGGGAGAAUGGGCUAGAUCAGACUCAGAGCUGACAUCUGAAGCCGUGGUUUGUAUUUUUAUGGUGCGGAACCAUCCGUGGAGCUGGCUGGGUUCCAACCAGCCUGCUCUGAAAACUCUCCCCAGCCUUCCUGCACAUCCUCUGUUGUGUGGCGAGUCAAAUAUGGCCAUUUCUUACCAUCACUGUCCCAUUAUGUCAUUGGGUUUACAGCUCCCUGGAAGCUUCUCUGUUGUAGAUUAUCUAACAGCAUCAUUCGUUCACUCCUCACGGGCACUUGUCCUCUGCAGGAUCGGUCUUCCCUCUCAAACUGAAGCGCAUUUACCGUGUCGGGCACACAGCUGUGGAGCUGGGAUGUGCUUUCCCAGCCUUGUGCAGAUGUUUAAGCCUUUUCUUUGUUUUUCUGCCUGCAGGAUAGUUUGUACAGUGCUGUUGAGCACUUUAACUUGUGCAAAUGUGGGUUGGCUGUUAUCUUUGCAGGUUCUUUUUAUUUUAUUAUGUAGCUAGUAAUUACAUUUUUAGAGUGCAUGGGCUUUACUGGAAUGAGGGACGCUGAGGCUCCUGAGUUGGGGGAAACCCUGCAUUUAUACCAUCCUGUUGGUUUUAAACACAGAUAGGCAAAUCUCUAAGUAUGAUUCAGGAAAUGCAAACUGAAAUCUCAUGCUCGAUGAGAUACAUCUAGCCCCAUGCAUCAGUUUGAAACUCACGGAAGAGUUUCAGGAAAGCUGCUUCCUAAAACCCAACCCUGAGCUUCUGGGUGCAUCUGGCCAAGGUCUCUGUGCCCAAAAAUGCCGCAGGGAUCCCCGUGUGCUGUGACUGUGACCUUCCUCCAAAUGUAGCUGAUCGCUGAAGCCUCGGAUGGUUGCUCAGACCUGCUAUGUCAGCGCCCACCAGCCCUCCUUUUGUAUAGGACAAAGCACUUUGCAAGGUAAGGAGCUAUCGGGGUGUUGGGAGGAGAUGGGGAGAGCCAAGCUGAUAACAGCAUCAGGACGUGUGGGAUGGUCUUGGAGAGACCUGCUGAUCCCAUGGGCAAGCAGGACAUUACUGAGCAGUUGUUGGAGCUCUUUUCUUUUUGGGUGUGGUGUAUUUUUUUUGUUUUUUAAUUAAACAUUUGAGUUGAAGGUCCUGGCUAAUUUCUAGGCCUUUUCUCUUGCAAAUUUUAAUUUAAACAGCAUGACUUGGCUCUCUGACAUGAUCCCUUGUUAAACUCACUCUCACAGACUUGCAGUGGUUUAAUCAGAAAUACUUAAUGAGAACUAACCUGAUGGAAGCUCGUUCCCUUGAGGCUGGGUCAAUGUUGGUCCCUGCGAAGCCAGUGCUAAUCCUGUCUGGCAUCAGGGGAGUGCAGGGGAUGGGGUCUGUGCCAGGUAUUUUUUAGGUGUCUGAGCUGUUCCUAACAGCUGUGAUUUCCUCUUGCUCCAUAGGAUUGCUGGAUGAACCCUGGCUGGUCGUGGGCCGUGUGCUGAAUUCAGGGGAGAGACAGUUUAUCCUGUAAGAAACUGGGAUUUAACUAAACCUCAUCCUGGUUUUCCCUUCAGUGACUGCAGGAGGCACCAAGCCUGGCACACCGUUGCUAUCUAGUGGCCAGAGGAAGGCAGUGGAUGAAUUUUUCUCUGUUUUGUGCAAAAGGACCGUGCUACUGAGACGCAG